rnacentral:tRNA from 1 species
GCUCUGUUGGCCCAGUGGUUAAGGCGACCGGCUGUUAACCGGUAGAUCGGAGGUUCGAUUCCUCCACAGAGCG